AACGAAGGCUGGCGGCAUGCCUAACACAUGCAAGUCGAACGAGAUCUUCGGGUCUAGUGGCGCACGGGUGCGUAACGCGUGGGAAUCUGCCCUUUGGUUCGGAAUAACAGUUGGAAACGACUGCUAAUACCGGAUGAUGACGAAAGUCCAAAGAUUUAUCGCCAGAGGAUGAGCCCGCGUAGGAUUAGCUAGUUGGUGUGGUAAAGGCGCACCAAGGCGACGAUCCUUAGCUGGUCUGAGAGGAUGAUCAGCCACACUGGGACUGAGACACGGCCCAGACUCCUACGGGAGGCAGCAGUGGGGAAUAUUGGACAAUGGGCGAAAGCCUGAUCCAGCAAAGCCGCGUGAGUGAUGAAGGCCUUAGGGUUGUAAAGCUCUUUUACCCGGGAUGAUAAUGACAGUACCGGGAGAAUAAGCUCCGGCUAACUCCGUGCCAGCAGCCGCAGUAA
rnacentral:rRNA from 1 species